AUUACUAUAAGUAAGAUCUGCUCCAUGAAUUUAAAUAGCCGCAGAAUUUUAACUGUGCUAAGGUAGCAUAAUCAUUUACCUUUUAAUUAAAGGUUUGCAUGAACGAUUUAACAAUUAAAUUAUUUUUUUAUAAACAUUUAUCUAACCUAAAUUAAAAAUAAAAAUGUUUUUAUAACCAAGAAAGACGAUAAGACCCUAUUGAACUUUACUAAUGUUCAGCUGGGGAAGCUAAUUAAAUAUAAUUUUAAUUUUUAAUUUCUAAUAAAUUUCUAAUAUAAUUAAUUUAACCAAGUUACCAUAGGGAUAACAGCGUAAUAUAAUUUUAAAGCUCAUAUUAAAAAUUAAGAUUACGACCUCGAUGUUGAAUUAGAAUUUCUAUAAAGCGCAAUAGCUAAAAAGAGGGUCUGU
rnacentral:rRNA from 1 species